rnacentral:rRNA from 1 species
CAUGGCUCAGAUUGAACGCUGGCGGCAGGCCUAACACAUGCAAGUCGAGCGGAUGAGAAGAGCUUGCUCUUCGAUUCAGCGGCGGACGGGUGAGUAAUACCUAGGAAUCUGCCUGGUAGUGGGGGACAACGUUUCGAAAGGAACGCUAAUACCGCAUACGUCCUACGGGAGAAAGCAGGGGACCUUCGGGCCUUGCGCUAUCAGAUGAGCCUAGGUCGGAUUAGCUAGUUGGUGAGGUAAUGGCUCACCAAGGCUACGAUCCGUAACUGGUCUGAGAGGAUGAUCAGUCACACUGGAACUGAGACACGGUCCAGACUCCUACGGGAGGCAGCAGUGGGGAAUAUUGGACAAUGGGCGAAAGCCUGAUCCAGCCAUGCCGCGUGUGUGAAGAAGGUCUUCGGAUUGUAAAGCACUUUAAGUUGGGAGGAAGGGCAGUAAGCGAAUA